rnacentral:rRNA from 1 species
GAUGAACGCUGGCGGCGUGCCUAAUACAUGCAAGUCGAGCGAACGGACGAGAAGCUUGCUUCUCUGAUGUUAGCGGCGGACGGGUGAGUAACACGUGGAUAACCUACCUAUAAGACUGGUAUAACUUCGGGAAACCGGAGCUAAUACCGGAUAAUAUUUUGAACCGCAUGGUUCAAAGGUGAAAGACGGUCUUGCUGUCACUUAUAGAUGCAUCCGCGCUGCAUUAGCUAGUUGGUAAGGUAACGGCUUACCAAGGCAACGAUGCAUAGCCGACCUGAGAGGGUGAUCGGCCACACUGGAAGUGAGACACGGUCCAGACUCCUGCGGGAGGCAGCAGUAGGGAAUCGUACGCAAUGGGCGAGAGCCUGACGGAGCAACGCCGCGUGAGUGAUGAAGGUCUUCGGAUCGUAAAAAUCUGUUAUUAGGGAAGAACAUAUGUGUAAGUAGCUGUGCACAUAUUGACGGUACCUAAUCAGAAAGCCACGGCUAACUACGUG